UCUCCGUGGUUCAAACUUUGUUUCAAGGCUUGGCUAAUGCUUACACCGAAGUUUUGAGUCAUGCUCCCAUGGCUGGCAGUCUUCGUCAGUAGUCCUUUUGGUUGGGAUGCGACGUGGACGUGCACCGAUUAAAGGGGGGAGGAUGUAACCCAGUGGUUCAGUUACACUCGGGGUUUAAGGGUAAACUCUCGCGAGAUUUCCCGCGAGACUUGGCGCGAGACUUUGAUGACGCCUUCGCCUCGGUGUUAUAAACAUGGCAGUGUGUUAGCAGUGUAAGAGCAGACGUGGGAUGACGUAGAUCACUGCAGGUGUAGAUGUAUGCACCAUAUCUGACACCCUCCCACGGUACAUGGCCACUACGAACCGGGGAUUGGCCGGGUUCCUAGAUCGGGUU